UGAGUACAAGAUGCUACGGCAUUGAAGCAGUCUAUGUCAUACUUCCAAGAAAAGCUUGCAAUGUCAUAAACAAAUAAUGCCUGUACCAUAACCGACACAGGUGGGUAGGUAGAGUAUACUAAGGGGCGCGAGAUAACUCUCUCUAAGGAACUCGGCAAAAUGACUCCGUAACUUCGGGAGAAGGAGUACCUUAUUUUAUAAGGUUGCAAUAACAAGGUCCAAGCAACUGUUUACCAAAAACACAGGUCUCCGCUAAGUCGUAAGACGAUGUAUGGGGGCUGACGCCUGCCCAGUGCCAGAAGGUUAAAGAAGUUGGUUAGCAUUAGCGAAGCUGAUAACUGAAGCCCUGGUGAACGGCGGCCGUAACAAUAACGGUCCUAAGGUAGCGAAAUUCCUUGUCGGGUAAGUUCCGACCCGCACGAAAGGCGUAAUGAUUUGGAUACUGUCUCGGAGAGGGGCUCGGUGAAAUAGACUUGUCUGUGAAGAUGCGGACUACCUGCACCUGGACAGAAAGACCCUAUGAAGCUUUACUGUAACUUGAGAUUGAAAUUGGACUUUAUUUGCGCAGUAUAGGUGGGAGACCUCGAAAGUAUUCUUGCGGGAAUAUUGGAGUCAUCAGUGAGAUACCACUCUUAUAAUGUUAGAUUUCUAACUUUGUAUCAUUAUCUGGUCAAAGAACAGUUUCAGGCGGGCAGUUUGACUGGGGCGGUCGCCUCCCAAAUGGUAACGGAGGCGCACAAAGGUUUCCUCUGAACGUGUAGAAAUCGUAUCUAGAGUGUAAAGGCAUAAGGAAGCUUGACUGUGAGACCUACAAGUCGAGCAGGGACGAAAGUCGGUCUUAGUGAUCUGACGGUGCUGAGUGGAAAGGCCGUCACUCAACGGAUAAAAGUUACUCUAGGAUAACAGGCUGAUCUCCCCCAAGAGUUCACAUCGACGGGGAGGUUUGGCACCUCGAUGUCGGCUCAUCGCAUCCUGGGGCGGUAGUACGUCCCAAGGGUUGGGCUGUUCGCCCAUGAAAGCGGUACGCGAGCUGGGUUCAGAACGUCGUGAGACAGUUCGGUCCAUAUCCGGUGUAGGCGUUAGAAUAUUGAGAGGAGCCUUCUUUAGUACUAGAGGACCGAGAAGGACAUACCUCUGGUGUACCAGUUAUCGUGCCAACGGUAAACGCUGGGUAGCUAUGUAUGGAGAGGAUAACCGCUGAAAGCAUCUAAGUGGGAAGCCCACCUCAAGAUAAGUAUACUCAU
rnacentral:rRNA from 1 species